rnacentral:rRNA from 1 species
GAAGGUAUGGCUGGUGAUUGGGAUGAAGUCGUAACAAGGUAGCCGUAGGUGAACCUGCAGAAGGAUCA